AACGAACGCUGGCGGCAUGCUUAACACAUGCAAGUCGAACGAGAAGUUCGGGUUUCGUUGCGCACGGGUGCGUAAACGGUGGGAAACCGCCCUUAGGUUCGGAAACACUCCCCGAAAGGGGUUCUAAAUACGCCUAAUGUACUGGGACUAAUGAUUUAUAGCCUUUGGAUGGGCUCGCGUUGGAUUAGAUCGUUGGUAGGGUAAAAGCCUAUCAAGGCGACGAUCAAGAGCUGGUUUGAGAGGAUGAUCAGCCACACUGAGACUGAGACACGGCAGACACUCCUACGGGAGGCAGCAGUGGGGAAUAUUGCACAAGGGGCGAAAGCCUGAGCCAGCAAUGCCGCGGGAGUGAAGAAGGCCUGAGGGGUGAAAAGCUCUUUUACCCGGAAGGGUAAUGACGGUACCGGGAGAAUAAGCUCCGGCUAACUCCGUG
rnacentral:rRNA from 1 species